rnacentral:lncRNA from 1 species
AGAGCUCACUAGUAUGCAUCAAGGAUCAUGGGAGCUGUCAAAGCAACACAUGACAGUUUAUCAUACAGUAGUCAUUGGGCCUUGCAUUUGAUAACUUAGAUUUUUUUUCGAAUCGUUUUAACUGUUGAGUCUUAAGGAGGGUUUUGCUGAUAGAAGGUCUUAGAAGUAGACCCUGAGGAAGUGAGUGAAACAGGGCACAAUGAAGGAAGAUGAGCAAGGUCAUGGUAACAGCUAAACUCUGACUUCAGCUAAGCCUCCCAGCUCUGGGCACCACUUCUACACCCAGCGCUCUCACAGGUUAAGCCAAGAGAUUUUAUCCCUGCUGUGAGCCAGGCAUUGGCUAUGAUAGCUGGAGAUGGGAGAAGGGACUUAUCUGCUACCUAAUGUGGGUUCUCUGAAGAAGGAAGGAGUGUGUAUGAAGCACCCUGCAUCAGGUUGUUCUUCCCAAUAGGGUCGAUUUUAUGAGAGAGCAACAAUGUCUACUAUAACCACUGCCACAGGGGAGGAAAUUGAGCAAUUGUCCCUGAGGUCCUUAGAAGAGGAUGGAUAAGGACAGUGGGCAAUUCUGAGACAUACAGAAGCUUUCAGCCACCACCCUCCAUGCAAAGAUUUGCUCACAACUGUCCUCACAGUAUAGCAUCCUAUCCCAGCAUGGACUCUUUCUCCAUUUCCAUUUUGAAACUCCCUCAAGUUGUUCUUCUCAACCUCUGUGGGCUGAAUUAUUCUCCUGGGACAUUUGGCAAGCAAACGACAUUCUGUAUACUGCCUUCUACUUAGAACUGGAAAUGGGAUUACAAGUACAGAUAGAGUUUUAGAAUCACUCCCAAAUCAAGAUGCAGAUGAGGAGUAUAGGUUCAGCCAGACUGUCAAAAACAGCUUCACUUGUAUAGCUAUUACCACAAUUCAUGGAGAGGCACUAUUCCCUGAAGUGGUUUUGCCCCACAGACUGCAAUCUUGCAAAGAAAAUGGACAUUGGCUUCAGCACCUAAGCAGUGUCUGGGAAAAAAAGUCAAUCUGAGAUUGUCCAAUGAAUAUGAUGGUCUAUUGGUAGUAACAGUAGCCAGAGCAUGAUCUCCUAGUGCUACAGUGUAUGUUCUCUGAAAUGAAAUACAAAUUACAUUCUGUCUCCAAAGUGCUCUUCCAAACUUUCUGGGCUAAAGUUGGAGUUCUAUGGUCUUUUUAUCUGUAUAGGCUGUUAUAGAGUUCAGGCUAACGUCCAGUUCAGUAUGUAACAUAGGAAAACCUUGAACCAUCAACUUCUGGUCCCUCUGCUUCCAGCACCCCAAGGCUGAGAUUAUAGGCAGGUACAAUCAUACCCAGCUUAUGUAGUUGUGGGGAUUGAACCCAGGGCUUUCUGUGCACUAGGCAAGCCCUUUGCAAGGUAUGUCUCUAGCCCUCAUUUCUGUGUUCAAAAAUAAAAAGCCCCUUUCAAGGAGGAGUGUUGAGCCCAUGAACUUUGUCAUUUAAGGAUUGUCUUACUUGAAAUGUCAAGUUUCUCAAUCUUGAAUGAAAUGGGGGUGUGACGAUCUUUGAAUGGCUGAUCUUCAUUCUGUACAUUCUUUUACAUUAUAAUAGCUUUAGACUAGGUGUCAGGAUCUGCUCCAUGAUUGCUCUCUUGCCUCCCAGGAAGUACAACCCAGAUGUGUUCCUUGCUUUUUCCAUGUUCGCUAGAACCAUGUAUCUUUAUAGAACUCUGGAACUAGAAGAAAAAUACAACAGAUAUGAAUUAGCAAUUUAUGAAAAUUAAUCAUAGUCUUGCAACUAGUUUGCAAUAAUCAUGAGCCCAUAACUUACUCUCUCUGACUUUCUCACCAUGCAUAACUGACUUUCCGGUUUGCAUCUCAUCAUGUAUGCAAAGCACUAUCAUGUUUAUUCAGACUUGUGUGAAUGCAUGAUCCUGUCCUUGCUCUACUGCCACUGGAGAAAUCUACUGGAGUGGCUGAAACUUGGGUGAGAACAGAGGUAGGCACAAAUCAGGAUCUCUACCUCCUAGAAAGGCAUAGUCAAAAAGUAGAGAAGUUCUUUUGGAAUAAAAGGAAUGGAAGAAGAAGGUGGAGAAGAACUUUAAGCUGCAUCAAGAGGAAAAGGAAGAUGUGGUGAGAAUCUGGUUACAAUGCCCAUUGACCAAGACCCUUCAUUACUUACGAAGCACAGACACCUCAUGCCAGUCCUCAGUGGCUUCUAGGUACCAGCCUAGAAUUAUAAAUUACAGAAUUAUAAAUUCCUGCGUUAAUGUAUGAGCCUGUCUACUUUCAUUCACAAGACACAUGGCUGUCUCUGUGCUAACACAUGCUGACACAUGCUAACACAUGCUGACACAUGCUAACACAUGCUGACACAUGCUAACACAUGCUGACACAUGCUAACUCUGUGGCCUUCCUGCCUUCCUGCACUCCUCCUCCCUUCCCCCACUUCAUAUUCUCAUUUUCUCAGAUAUGCAGGAAACAAAGAAAAUACUGUAUGAACUAUAACCUAAUAUUUCUCAGGUGUGGAUAUCAUGGGCUCGGCUACAUACUUGUCUCUAGUUAGCUGACCCCUGGUUGCACUACCUUGUUCAUCAUGGGUAACCCCCACUAAUGGAUGUAAAAAAAAAAAAAAUGAAGAAAGGAACCUCAGUUUAACUGGAGUUUUGUCCAAAGCAAUAUAUAAAAAAUGUAUUAGAGAGCCCCACCAAAGAAGAGAGAGUUCAGAUGCAUCCGUGGGUGUUUCACUAAGUCUUCAGAUGAGCAUUCACUUUUGCAAGCUGCGAUCUCCCAAAACUCUAACUUGUGGCUACUCACCACCUGCAGAUGCUUUCUGCCAGUAAGUGCAGUGGAGAGGAAGUAGCUGGGGUUCUCUCUGCAAACGGGUAGGGGGCAAAGAUGGGAGUGAGCACGAUCAGGGUGCAUGGUACGAGAUUCCCAAAUGAUCGGCAAAAAUAUCAUGUUGGAAAAAAGAAAGGAACCUUAAAACAGUAGUUAUUUAACUCUGCUCUCACAUCAGAGGGAAUAAGGGCUUUUUCUAGAGCCAGCUAUGAGUGAGCAUGGCCCAAGACCGCAGAUUUGGGUCACACUGAAUUUUAUGUUCCAACAUGGGAACAGUUAUCCGAAGGUUUUUAAAGUAACAGAAGAAAUACAGAGACCAAGGCUCUUUGCAUAUACAUUGGUGGACACAUCAGAGUUGGGGUUACAACAACAGGGGAGCCUCCAAGCCAGUCUCAGAGGCUACCUGACACCUACGUUUUGGUUGGUAGAAGCUAGUGGUCUGUUAAGUUAGUGCAUUUUUCAGAAGGUUUCCUGAUACUCAUAAGGAUGUGAGAUAAGACUCAGAGAGAGGAAAGGGACAAUAAGACAGCUAAAGAUGGCCCAAGAUAAAUUAUAAUUAGGCAUGGAUCUGCGACCUCCAACCAUUCUUUGACGUGCUCGUCAGAUCAUUGGCCUGGCAGAAGGUUCAGUUGGUUAAAGGGUUCAGUUUCUUUUGUGGACCUUGUGUUCACAUUUAAAAACAGCUUUCUGGAAGCUGUGUGUGCACCUUGGUAUUAUUCUGUCAGAGUGAGGUCAGGAAUACAGGAACCAGCUUCUCCUGGCACGAGGUCUCCCACCAUUUGAUCCGGCACUGAGAUGUUUUUCUCCUGUCAAAAGCACAGAGGCUUUAUUGUGUAUAAUAACUGGGUUGAAAGGUCAUUUUCGUGCUUUUCCUGCCACCUACAGAGGCUUUCUCCACCUGACCUUUUAUUGGAGGCAAAAAUGCUCUAAAACCAAACUGGAACCAUUAUAAGAAUCUUGGUGGUGAGGGGUGAGGGCUGGUGUUUUUUGUUUUGUUUUGUUUCUUGUUUUAAUUCGUCCCUCGUCUUUUAAGGGUUUGACAUGGUUUUGCUUGAGAACCAUAGCAAGGUUUUUAUUUUUAAUGAAAAUAUACAGUUGGAAUUUACUGACCCAUGUGCUAAUGUCAUGCAUUGCCUCUACUUCAUUCAUUAGUUAGAGCAUUGAACACAUGCUACAUGCCACACGAGUGUAUGUAAUAUACCAUGCUGAUGAGGGGAAUGGAGGAGAUAGUUGCUAUGGUAGAGUUUCUGCUGUAGCAGAGAAGCGGGGUAGUAUGUACAAACUGAUAAUUUAGUGGGAAGUGUUACAAAGACCAGGCAAGGUGAAUGUAGGAAAGAGAAAUUGCUUCUCAGUCAUUGUUUAGAAUGGUCAAGAGUUGGAAAUACGAAAACGUCCCCUUAGGACUCACAGACAAACUAGAAAUACAAGCAUGAAGCUAUGCAUUUCAAAUAUAGAACACUACAUUUGAUGAUAUAUCGCUGCACUAAAUCUAUGGGGAUC